rnacentral:rRNA from 1 species
CAGUAGCCACGGUAAUACGUAGGUGGCAAGCGUUAUCCGGAAUUAUUGGGCGUAAAGCGCGCGUAGGCGGUUUUUUAAGUCUGAUGUGAAAGCCCACGGCUCAACCGUGGAGGGUCAUUGGAAACUGGAAAACUUGAGUGCAGAAGAGGAAAGUGGAAUUCCAUGUGUAGCGGUGAAAUGCGCAGAGAUAUGGAGGAACACCAGUGGCGAAGGCGACUUUCUGGUCUGUAACUGACGCUGAUGUGCGAAAGCGUGGGGAUCAAACAGGAUUAGAUACCCCUGUAGUCCCUGUCUCUUAUAU